rnacentral:rRNA from 1 species
CACGUAGGGGGCAAGCGUUGUCCGGAAUUAUUGGGCGUAAAGAGCUCGUAGGCGGUUUGUCGCGUCGGCCGUGAAAACUUGGGGCUUAACCCCAAGCCUGCGGUCGAUACGGGCAGACUUGAGUUCGGCAGGGGAGACUGGAAUUCCUGGUGUAGCGGUGAAAUGCGCAGAUAUCAGGAGGAACACCGGUGGCGAAGGCGGGUCUCUGGGCCGAUACUGACGCUGAGGAGCGAAAGCGUGGGGAGCGAACAGG